UUGAAAGGGAAACGAUUGAAGUCAGUCGUACCGACGAGAAAUCAGCUUUUCGAAUGUGCAUUUGUGGGCGUAUGAGAUCUUCAUUGUUUGCAAUAUGUAUAUUUCUUUGGUGUACUUUUUUCGUAUGGUAGGUUAACGUCGGUUUUGGUCGCCAUAAAAUGACCGGAGAAAUGUAGCUUCGGCUUCGGUUGAAGUGUUAUAGCCUUUGGUAGAUGUGGGGGAUUAGGACCGAGGAUUGCAACGAAUACCUUUUAGGUUAUCCGUCUGACCUCUGAAAGUUACUUAGGUGCCGAAAGCUUGCUUACGGUCAUUUAAGUUGACGGUCAAUAGGUUAGAACGCGAUUACAUUCGUUAAGGAUGUUGACGUA
rnacentral:rRNA from 1 species